rnacentral:rRNA from 1 species
AGAGUUUGAUCCUGGCUCAGAUUGAACGCUGGCGGCAGGCCUAACACAUGCAAGUCGAGCGGUAACAGAGAGUAGCUUGCUACUUUGCUGACGAGCGGCGGACGGGUGAGUAAUGCUUGGGAACAUGCCUUGAGGUGGGGGACAACAGUUGGAAACGACUGCUAAUACCGCAUAAUGUCUACGGACCAAAGGGGGCUUCGGCUCUCGCCUUUAGAUUGGCCCAAGUGGGAUUAGCUAGUUGGUGAGGUAAUGGCUCACCAAGGCGACGAUCCCUAGCUGGUUUGAGAGGAUGAUCAGCCACACUGGGACUGAGACACGGCCCAGACUCCUACGGGAGGCAGCAGUGGGGAAUAUUGCACAAUGGGCGCAAGCCUGAUGCAGCCAUGCCGCGUGUGUGGAGAAGGCCUUCGGGUUGUAAAGCACUUUCAGUCAGGAGGAAAGGUUAGUAGUUAAUACCUGCUAGCUGUGACGUUACUGACAGAAGAAGCACCGGCUAACUCCGUGCCAGCAGCCGCGGUAAUAAU